UUCUUCCUUCAUGCCUUAACCGAACCUUCACCUCCCUCAUUCGGCGAUUGCCUCGUUCUCGAAGCUUCCUGCUAGUUUUCCGAUCACCUUCCUCCUUUCCAAGCCCUCUUGCACCAAUGGGAGGAAUUUUCCUGCCCAAAAAAGUCUAGUAACCUUCAUUCUCUUAAUCUUGAUGGGUUUCUUACCCUUCAUGGGUGUUUCUCCUCACCGCCCUGAUUCUCACCUGCGGUAAGAUCAUUCCUCCCCGUCACCUAUAAAUACCCCUUUGAGAAGAAAAUUGGGAGGUUUUCAGGUUGAGAUUGAUUCAUCGGUUCGCUGGUGAUUCACUUGUUAUUGUAGUUUCCGUUUUUUUUUUUGGAGCAUUUGGAGGAAUAUUGGUGCCUGAACGUGAGGAUUUUGGGGUUAGCAUCUUUGUUUAGACGAUGUAAGGAUUUCUUUCUUGGCUUGGAUUUCUGCUUCUGAAAUUUCUGAAGUUUCUUCUACGCUCUUUGGAAGUGCAAGAAAUGAAGUUUAAGAGCAAAAGAAGCAAAAAUGGGUCAAAUGAAGCCAAAGAACCAAAAACCUGAGCUUUCUAUAUAGUAAGCAUUUCCACACAUCCAAGAGGAGAGGAGAAGGAGAGAAAAAUCAUUUUUGGGUAGUUCAGACCAACAUUGGAGUGGGUCGCCACCAUAGUGAGAGUGUGGUGAUUGUGAGUGUUUGUUGAGUCUUGUGUGAGUCUUGUGAAAUCAAGUUCAGUCAGAAAACUUCAGAGAAUUGCUUGGGAAAGUGUUUGAGAUAAGUACUUAUACUUUUAUUUUGUAAACCUAGCUUCUAAUAUAUAUAAUGUUUUGUUUUGUC